rnacentral:rRNA from 1 species
GACGAACGCUGGCGGCGUGCUUAACACAUGCAAGUCGAACGGUAAGGCCCUUCGGGGUUCACGAGUGGCGAACGGGUGAGUAACACGUGGGUAAUCUGCCCUGCACAUCGGGAUAAGCCUGGGAAACUGGGUCUAAUACCGAAUAGGACCACAGGACACAUGUCCUGUGGUGGAAAGCUUUUGCGGUGUGGGAUGGGCCCGCGGCCUAUCAGCUUGUUGGUGGGGUGAUGGCCUACCAAGGCGACGACGGGUAGCCGGCCUGAGAGGGUGUCCGGGCACACUGGGACUGAGAUACGGCCCAGACUCCUACGGGAGGCAGCAGUGGGGAAUAUUGCACAAUGGGCGAAAGCCUGAUGCAGCGACGCCGCGUGGGGGAUGACGGCCUUCGGGUUGUAAACCUCUUUCACCAUCGACGAAGGUCCGGGUUUUCUCGGGCUGACGGUAGGUGGAGAAGAAGCACCGGCCAACUACGUG